rnacentral:rRNA from 1 species
AUUGAACGCUGGCGGCAUGCCUAACACAUGCAAGUCGAACGAGUGGCGGACGGGUGAGUAAUGUCUGGGCAACUGCCCGAUGGAGGGGGAUCACUACUGGAAACGGUAUCUAAUACCGCCUACCAUCGGAUGUGCCCAGAUGGGAUUAGCUAGUAGGUGGGGUAACGGCUCACCUAGGCGACGAUCCCUAGCUGGUCUGAGAGGAUGACCAGCAACAUGGGAACGGAGACACGGUCCAGACGACUACGGGAGGAAGCAGUGGGGAAGAUUGGAAAAUGGGCGCAAGCCUGAUGCAGCCAUGCCGCGUGUAUGAAGAAGGCCUUCGGGUUGUAAAGUACUUUAAGCGAGGAGGCGUUACUCGCAGAAGAAGCACCGGCUAACUCCGUGCCAGCAGCCGCGGUAAUAC